UUCUCAAUUCCGCCCCAGACAACCAAUUUUAAUUCUCAAAUGAGAUACCAUUUCAUCACAUAAUCCAUAAUAAAUCCACAAUUAAAGGGAUCAAGCAAUAAUAAAAAACAAGCAAUAAUUCACAUCAUCACAGAUCAACCAAACCAACAUAAUAUUCAAUCCAAUGCACCGGAUAUCAUCAACAAUGAAAUAAAAAGAGGUGAAAGAGUAGAAUUAGACCUCAUUUGAAGCUUUAUUUUUUUUACAAUUAAAUAGAGGAGCUUCGCGGAUUAGGAACCUCGAGCUGGCCCAACCUCAAAUAUCAAUCUCCAACUCGGUAUCAGAAGUCAAAACCCGAAUAGAUUUGAAAAAGAAAUUUCAAAGCCAAACUAAGACUGAAUUUACGAAAGACCAAGCAAUCCGUACUCGUUAUCAUGAACUCUCACAGAAAUUGACUUUAAUGUUGUCGGACUCUACCCAACAAGGCCGAUCUCAGCUAAUUUUGAUGGCUGGUUUGGAUUUUGAUGAUGCAAAUAACGGGUUUCGAGUCGGUGAUGCUGAAUCAGAUGCGUAGCACAUGUUCCAGUAAGAUAGCUGCCAAAUAAAUUUGACACUAACUAGAUCUUCGCCCAUCCUUUUCUCUCUCUCUCUUCACUAGUCUCUCUCUUUGUUAUUCUCUCUAUAUGUCUCGCUCAAUCUCAUGAUACUCUCUCUGCUCAACCUCUCAUCUACUUUCACUCAAUUUUAUCCUAUUUUUUAUUCUCCAAUCCGAUGUGUGAGUGAGUGUAUUGGUUUAUUUCUGGGCGUGAGGUUGCUAUGGAGGUACGCUGGUGAGGGUAUUGAUGGUGAGGCAGCCUUUCCCUUUUCUUUUGUGAAGAUGAUAGAGUUUCUAUGUAAGGUCGUGGGAGUGUAGGAGUGUAAUUGUUGUUGGAAUCCUUCCCUGUGGGCCCAUUUGUGAAAUGAUUGUGUUUGAUAUAUUAUUGUUGAUGUGAAUGGAAGACAAAUAUAGUGGGGUAUUAGGUGAGUUCAGAGAGUUGUUUGAUUAGGUAGGGUAGGUGGGGUAGGGGUAGGGUAGGAGGUAGGUAGGGAGAGGUAAAAAUGUGUAGAAAUUAAUAUUUGGGCGGACAAAAUUACGUGUCUACAACAUGCCCCCUUUGAAUGUAAACAUGAAAUAUUUUCAGAAAAAGAAGUAGACAACGAGACAAAAUUUUGUCCCGAUCAUUAUUCAAAAAGAAUGAAACAGAAGAAAGGAGGAAAACCAAGUCUUGACUUUGGACAUCAUACUCAUCCUUAGUUAUGAGGGAAUCAAGUCACAGGUAUCUCUAAAGGAAGGAGAAGGAUUAUACCGAGUUGGAGAGUCGAGUGAGGUCCCAUCGAGGUUCCGGUCUGCAGCUCUGUUAUUACAUCAAAAAUAAAAAUUAUGAGUUAAAACAUAAAUGAAAUUACAAAAAUCCUAUCUAUGCAACUUCUUUUGGACUCUUAUCAUGAGUUUCAUCACCCUAUUCUUCAGGCGGGCACCUGACUUGCAAUUUCUUCAACUUGUUGUUUGGCUUUCAAUUUUUUCAACUUGUUGUUUGACUUUCAAUUUUAUCACCCUAUUCUUCAGGUGGGCUCCUGAAUUUCAAUUUCCUCACCCUGUUCUUCAAGCGUGCACCUGACUUUCAAUUUUAUCACUCUAUUCUUCAGGCAGGCUCCUGAAACCAAAAUAAAAGCUAAAACAAAAAUUAUCCCAAACGAAGAUUAUGAUAAAGAAAGAUUUCAUUCAUUCAUUUUAGUUAAAAGUAAUGUCCUAUUUUCCAGGAAGGUCCUAAAAAUAAAGUAAAAUCCCAUUUUCCAAGAGGGUCCUAAACAUAAAGUAAAAUCUUAUUUUUCAGGAAGGUCCUGAACAGAAAGUAAAGUCCCAUUUUUCAGGAGGGUCCUAAAAAGAAAGUAAAUUCUCAUUUUUAUGAGGGUCCUGAAUAGAAAGUAAAGUCCCAUUUAUCAACAGGGUCCUGAACAGAAAGUAAAAUCCCAUUUUUAAGGAGGGUCCUAAACAGAAAGUAAAAUCUCAUUUUUCAGGAGGGUCCUGAACAGAAAGUAAAAUCUCAUUUUUUAGGAGGGUCCUGAACAGAAAGUAUAGUCCCAUUUUCCAGGAGGGCCCUGAGCAGAAAGUAUAUUCCCAUUUUUCAAGAUGGUCCUGAACAGAAAGUAAAAUUUGCAUUUUUCAGGAGAGUCCAGAACAGCAAGUAAAUUCUCAUUUUUCAGGAGAGUCCUGAGCAGAAAGUAAAUUCUCAUUUUUCAGGAGAGUCCUGAACAUAAAGUAAAAUCCUAUUUUUCAGGAGGGUCCUAAACAGAAAGUAAAUUCCCAUUUUCCAGGAGGGUCCUGAACAUAAAGUAAAUUCCCAUUUUCCAGGAGGGUCCUGAACAGAAAAUAAAAUUCUUAUUUUUCAGGAUGAUCCUGAAUAGAAAGUAAAAUCCCAUUUUUUAGGAGGGCCUGAGUAGAAAGUAAAAUUCUCAUUUUUUUAGGAGGGUCUUGAACAGAAAGUAAAAUUCCAUUUUUUAGGAGGGUCCAGAACGAAAUAUAAAUUAUUAUUUUCUAGGAGGAUCCUGAACAUAAAGUAAAUUCUCAUUUUCCAAAAGGGUCCUGAAUAGAAAGUAAAAUCCCAUUUUUUAGGAGGAUCCUGAGCAGAAAGUAAAAUUCUCAUUUUUUUAGGAGGGUCUUGAACAGAAAGUAAAAUUCUAUUUUUCAGGAGGGCCCAGAACGAAAUGUAUAUUCCCAUUUUCUAGGAGGAUCCUGAACAGAAAGUAAAGUCCCAUUUUUCAGGAGGGUCCUGAAGAGAAAGUGAAGUCCCAUUUUUCAGGAGGGUCCUGAACAGAAAGUAAAAUCCUAUUUUUUAGGAGGGUCCUGAACAGAAAGUAAAAUCCCAUUUUCCCGGAGCGUCCUGAACAGAAAGUAAAUUUCCAUUUUCCAGGAGGGUCCUGAACAGAAAGUAAAUUCCUAUUUUUAGGAGGGUCCUGAACAGAAAGUAAAGACCUAUUUUUUUAGGAGGGUCCUGAAUAGAAAGUAAAAUCCCAUUUUUCAGGAGGGUCGUGAACAGAAAGUAAAAUCCCUUUUUUCAGGAGGUCCUGAACAGAAAUAAAAAUCUAAUUUUUUAGGAGGGUCCUAAACAAAAAGUAAAAUCCCAUUUUCUAGGAGGGUCCUGAACACAAAGUAAAUUCCCACUUUUCAGGAGGGUCCUGAACAGAAAGUAAAAUUCUAUUUUUUAGGAGGGUCCUGAACAGAAAGUAAAAUUCCAUUUUCCAGGAAGGUCCUGAACAUAAAAUAAAUUCCCAUUUUCCAGGAGAGUCCUGAACAGAAAGUAAAAUUCUCAUUUUUUAGAAGGUAACUGAACAGAAUGUAAAGUUCCAUUUUUUAGGAGGGUCCUGAACAGAAAGUAAAAUCCCAUUUUUCAAUUGGGUCCUGAACAGAAAGCAAAAUCUUAUUUUUUCAGGAGGGUCCUAAACAGAAAGCAAAAUCCCAUUUUUCAGGAGGUUUUGAAUAGAAAGUAAAUUCCCAUUUUCCAGGAGGGUCUUGAACAGAAAGUAAAAUCCUAUUUUUCAGGAAGGUCCUGAAUAUAAAGUAAAUUUCCAUUUUCCAGGAGCGUCCUGAAUAGAAAGUUAAAUUCUAUUUUUUAGGAGGGUCUUGAACAGAAAGCAAAAUCUCAUUUUUCAGGAGGGUCUUGAACAGAAAGUAAAUUCCUAUUUUCCAAGAGGGUCCUGAACAAAAAGUAAAUUUCUUUUUUCUAGAAGCGUCAUGAACAGAAAGUAAAAUUCUAUUUUUCAAGAGGGUCCUGAACAAAAAGCAAAAUCUCAUUUUUAGGAGGGUCCUGAACAGAAAGUAAAUUCUCAUUUUUUUGGAGGGUCCUAAACAGAAAGUAAAAUUCCCAUUUUUCAGGAGUGUUCUGAGCAGAAAGAAAAGUCUCAUUUUUCAGGAGGGUUCUGAGCAGAAAGGAAUGUCUCAUUUUUUAUGAGGGUCCUGAACAAAAAUUAAAGUUUCAUUUUUCAGGAGUGUCCUGAACAGAAAGUAAAGUCCCAUUCUUCAGGAGGGUCCUGAAUAGAAAGUAAAGUCUCAUUUUUCAGGAGGGUCCUGAACAGAAUGUGAAGUCCCAUUUUUCAGGAGGGUCCUGUAUAGAAAGUAAAGUCCCAUUUUUCAGGAGGGUCUUGAACAGAAAGUAAAGUCCCAUUUUUCAAGAGGGUCCUGUACAGAAAGUAAAAUCCUAUUUUUUAGGAGGGUCUUGAACAGAAAGUAAAAUCCUAUUUUUCAGGAGGGUCCUAAACAGAAAGUAAAAUCCCAUUUUUUAGGAUGGUCCUUAAUAGAAAGUAAAUUUCCAUUUUUCAGGAGGGUCCUGAAAAUAAAGUAAAUUCCCAUUUUCCAGGAGGGUCCUGAACAGAAAGUAAAAUCCCAUUUUUAGGAGGGUCCUGAACAAAAACUAAAAUCCCAUUUUUUCCAGGAGGGUCUUGAACAUUAAAUAAAAUCUCAUUUUUCAGGAGGGUCUUGAAUAUAAAUUAAAUUUCCAUGGAUGUGCUUUUCCAAUCGUUGCUAAAUUAAGUAAAGCAAAUUUGCCCCUGUUUUAACAAAGAAAAUUUGUCAGUUAAAAACAUAGUGUUGGCUUGCAGCACUUGGUUGUCCCGACACCUGCUCUAGUGUCCAUUUCCCUCAUUUUGUUUUGGAUUGUUGGCACUUUCCCUUGCUUUGUCACGUCAUCCAAACUUAAAUUAUUAAGAGUGACCCUGAAACAAACACAGUAUUUCUACUUUGCCAUGCUUCUCAGAUAAACCCUUUGAACCUAGAUAUUUCCAUAAAUUCCUAGACUUGUCUAUUGACAAAACUUUCUGCAUGCCUUAUUUCAGCUCACAAUCAUGUCUCUUUCAUGUGUUGGCAUUUUGUCUUGCUUUGUGUAAUUGAAGAAGCUACUAGCCAGUUUUGAAAUCUUUUCUCACUUGUUUUGAUAUGGACUUGACUCAAAGAUAAGAUAAAAAUGACAAUGACUUUUAUUUGGACAAUUGACUCAAGAAAAAAAUAAAAUAAAAGUAAAGAGAAGAAAAAAAAGACAAUAAAUGUCCUUAUUUGAAAUAAAAAAAUGAAAAACUUCAUCUAAAAAUGAUAGUCAACUCUAAUGAUUAUGCCAUGCAUUUUGGAUUAAGCUCCCUGAUCUUUCCAUCCAAACUUUCUACCAAUUGUUCUUGAGUUAAUGGCCAUGAAACUGAGUUGUUUCCUUAGGUCAAUGUCAUUUAAGACCUCAUUCGGCUAGUGUCACCUUGAAGGGUUUUUGUCAACAAGCCUCUCUCAUUUUCAUUUCUCAGUUCACCAUUGUCUUAUGGCGUUUGUGAGGGUUUUUCACCAUUGAGACUCUCUUAUUUUCAUUUCUCUCAGCUCACCAUCGUCUUACGGUGCCCAUGAAGGUUUUCACUAAUAAGACUCUCUCAUUUUUUAUUUCUCUCCCGAUUCUUAUUGUUGAGGAAUAUAAGUAAUUUCCAAAAUGCGUCAUCACAUUCAUUGCAUACUUAGUCUUAACAUUCUCAAAGAUUGAUCUGAAGGUCUUUCUUUGGUUCUAACUUGGCUUUUGGAUAUAGUUAGAAAGAAAGGAUGGCAUGGGGUCCAAACGACAUUUGAAGUGGGGUAGGACUUACAACUUUUGGAAUUGACUCAAAUAAUGAGAAUUAACUCAUGCCCCAGUUUUUUUGACCGGGUGACUCUAAAUUGUUUAUUUGGUUGGACCGAGCCCUUAGUAGGGCAGCCUACAUACCUCACUCCCGAGAGAGGAGAAUCAAGUCAUGCGUAGUUCUGGCAGCUCGUUCUGUUGCUUGAUUCUGAUUUUUUCUCUCUUUUUUUUUCCUUUAUUUUCACUUUUUUGAACAUAUUUUCUUUAUUUUUUUCUCUUUUUUUGUUGAAAUUUUUCUGACUCAAUUUCUUGCUCGACACUUUUCUUUUGAGCUUUGCUGACUCUAUCUUGAUUCCAAAAGAGGUGUAUGAAAGAAGAUAAAACUAAGGCUCAGAUAGGGUAAACAAGGAUAACACAAUGUUUGGAUAACAGAAUAAAAUGCCUUCAUCAUAUCAAUCCUUGAAAAUUCCAAUACACAUCAUGCAAUAUGAAAUGAAAGAUAAAGAUCAUUUGUGACACUUUAAAAACACAAACUUUAAUUGAGCAUGUGUGCCACUUCUUUCUUCUAUAUUUGUCAAACAUAUAACUCAACCUUUGUUGUACAUCCCUCACAUUGAAUGACUCAUGCUAUUAUGGAAUUGAUUUUUUUUCCUGUUCCUCUUGAUAUAAGAUUAUGCAGCCAUUGUUUGACCUAAUUGAGACAUGUCUUCGAUUGAUGACCAAGUUAUUCUUGUGACUCUCAUAAUAAUCGUCUUAAUUUUCAAAGAAGGUUUCAACUUGUCACCAUAUGUCUCAGCACUCUACCUAUUUUCUUAGAUGCUCUCUUUUCCUAACUUUAACUCUCUGAUUCAAUGCUUUAUGAUUAAGUUAGAUUUUAGGAUCUGGUUAAAAAUUCCGUAGGCAUGUCAUAACACUAGAAUCAACGUAAAAUACAUUGUGUAAAGAAGACAAACAAACAACUUAAAAUAAGACAAAACAAACAAGGGACACCACAUAUCAUUGAAAGGAAGGAUAGAAGUGUUUAAGCAAAGACGACAGAGAAACAAAACAAGAUAGAUCCCGAACUACAACCCUGAAAUAAUUUGGAAAACAUAAAAUAAAACAAAACAAACUAUAGACCUCUUCCUAGUAGGGAGAGGGGUAACUUCUCAAUUGCUCAGCCUGACAACUUAGCCACUGGUUUGCAUAUCAGUAUGACUAGAACUUCCACCAUGAUCAGACACAUUCCCUUCAAUAAAUAAGUUCUGGGUCAUCAUGUUUAACUCAUUGCUUCCCACAUAUUGUGCAGUACCAUGUGCUGGUGAAGAAUUCUGUGGGACGGUUGAGUGUCAAUGUUUUGCAGCACAAUCAAUUUUUCUUGAAUCAUCCUUUCUAUUUCUCUUUUUAAAGUACGACAAUCCUCAAUACUAUGACCCUGAACAUCAAAAUGAUAUACAUAUUGUACCUUAGGAUUAAAACUUCUUAAAUGUGGGUCAGGAGUAUACCCAAGAAGAGAAGUGAUCAUUCCUCACUGUGUCAAUCUCUAAAAUAAACUGGCAUACGACUCUUCAAUUGUUGUGAAACUAUCCCUCAAUUUUUGACUCAUUUAUUAUUUAACUUAGAUCAAACAUCGGGCGUAGAAGGUCUUUGGUAUGUUUUUGGAGUUGGAGGAUGACUUUGAGGAGUUGGUGUGCGCCAUUGUGGGUAAGGAGGGAGUUAAACAUAGGGCAGUGUGCAAUAUAGUAGAUAUGGAGGUAGGGAAACAGAGUAUAAUGGAUUUUGGGAGUGAUUAUGGAGAGCUUGGGUAUGAACUUGGGCUUGAGACUGACUGCAAUGACGAUGACUUCUUCUUAGAUGUGCCCACUUUCCUACUACAAUAGCAGUGUCAUCUUUCUCAUUCUUCUUCCCUCCAGGUUCUAUGAAUUGAUUACAAUAUUAUCCCAAAUGUUUCACGAUUCCUUAUGCCCAACUUUAUCCUUAAAUUUCGACAUCUUAAAGAUUGGAGGAAGAUUAGCACUUGAAGGCAUACCUCAGUCUUUGUAUGAAAAUAUCUUCUUUUCCAGCAGGUCCUAGAGAAUUUUUCAUAGAAUCUUCUAUACUCUUCAUUUUUCCAACCAUUUUCUCUGACUCUUCUGGCACAUGGGACUUCUGGUUAAGAAAUUUUGGUGGUCCAGUUAACUUAAAAGUAGGAUCAGGAGUAUAACGAUGAUCACUAAGAGUAUUAAAAAAGGGUCCAUUAGUAGCAUUAGAAAGCACAACUGUUGGUCGGUUGGCCAAUAUAGAAACCUCAGUAGGGUAUUGAGCAACAAGAUCACAGACGACAUAUGGUGUGGUGAAUGUAGCAGGCUUAUACUGAGGAGCUCGAGGAAAAGUGGUGGAAGUAUUGUGAUGCUUUUGGCUUGGAAUGAAUUCUGAGUCAUGUUGUGGUGCAUCAACAGCAGUAGGACACUGACUUUGUAAUUUUGGUGGAAAACUUGAGGUAGUUGUAAGAUCAAUAGUAGAAAAUAGAGAAGGAGGAAACCCACUGGCCCAAGCUCGAUGCAUUUCUGUCAUUUGUUGCCUUAGUCUCCUAAUCUCUUGCUUUAAACACUUAUUUUCAUAACUCAUUGUUUGAUCCAUGAUGCCACUCUCUAUAUCUUUGUUGGACACAACAAACCCUUUGAAUUUGGUGUGAUGUGGAGGACCAUCCAGAAUGCCACAAACCAACCACCUUAAACUGACUAAAAAAAAAAAAAAUGUGUUAGAGUUCAACACUUUUUCAAAACUCUUUUUCCUUUUUUCUUUGAAAAGAUCACUGAACCCAAGAGGGGUGCCUACGUAUCUCACUCCCGAGAGAGGAGAAUCAGGUGUGCGUAGUUCGUGAAGUCUUGCCAAAAUAGCCAAUUAACCUCUUUUUCUUCUUUUUCUUGGAACUUUAAGAAGAAAAGAAAAUAACAAAUUAUCAAAACAAUUGACAAAAAUCUUUUUUGCAUUUUUCAGGUUUAAAUCCCUACACAAAAAUGAAACUUAUAACUACCAAAGAAAAAUCUUUUUGGGUUUUCAAUUUUGAAUUUCAUAUGAAAAUGAAACUUGAAACUAUUAAAGAAGAAAAAAUCUUUUUGUCGUUUUCUUUUAGAAGAUGUAUAUGAACACCUACUCUAAAUGAAGAGUGAAGAAAAUCGUUUUGAAUUUUUCAGAUUUCUAUACAAAAUGAAACCUAUGAUUACCAAAGAAAAAUCUUUUGGGGUUUACAAUUUUCAAUUUCAUAUGAAAAUAAACUUGAAACUUUAAAGAAAAUCUUUUUCUAGUUUUCUUUUAAAGAAGUAUAUAACACCUACUCUAAUAAAGAGUGAAUAAAAUCUUUUUCGGAUUUUCAAAUAAGAUCCCGGAAUCAACAAUUGGCUGCCUACGUAUUCAGGGGUACGCAGUUCAUCCAAAUUGGACAAUUAAGGAUUUAAUAACCAACACCCUAACUUGAGAGACACGAGCACAAACAGAAGAUGCAAAACGUCAAUAAAAUCUUUUUGAGUUUUCAAUUUGACACUUCACAUAAAAAUGACACCAACAACUAUGAAAGAAAAAUCUUUUUGGUAUUUUUGUGAAAUGUACGAAACUCCUACAAAUUUUUUUUGCAUUUUUCUUUUAUAAAAACUUCUAUGAAUGAAAAAUCUUUUUGAAGUUUUCGAAUUGUGAAUACAUGCUAACGAGACAAAGGAAAAAUCUUUUUGAUGUUUUUGUUUUUGAGAAAUAAGUGCAAAAGGUAAAAAUCUUUUUGAAUUUUUGGAUUGUGAAGAACAAAAGCCAUAAAGAACUCUAAAAAUAAACCACUAAACUCUAUUUUUGACUCACUAUUUUUUUAACGCACCUUUUAACACAUACUUUCCUCGAAUCAGUCCGUCAAAUGACCACGUUACCCUCAAAGAUGCAGCAUUUAACACAUAGGGAUGCUUUACAGGUGAGUCUCCUACAAAGGACCAAAUGGGCCCCACUAUGACCUAAAGGCUGACCUACGCUGGGGUUUACUAACAAGGCUAUUCGGGGGUGCGUAUGGUCGAUAGUGGCUGCGAAAGCUUUCCACCCACUCCAUAACACCAACGGCUCCCCCUACUAAAAUAAGGGUGACUCAACUAGUGUUCGUGUGCACGACGUGCACUCUGGGACUUGUUGCAAAAAGAAUGACUCGGGUUUUGCACAUGAUGCCAGAUAUAAAGCGGUAACACAUAAGCUAAAAAUUGUAAACAAAGAGCACGUAGGCAUUCAACAAUGAUAAAACAAUAACACAAAACAACACAAACACAAUGUCUAUACACCUAUAGUGCCAAACUAAGCCGAUACAACUCCAAAAUAAGCUCGAAUUCUGAAAAAAUAUCCCAGCAGAGUCACCGGAGCUGUCACACCCUCUUUUUAACCCCAAAAAGAUUAGAUUUAGGUUUGAAAGGGUUUUUACUAUCAAAGUGACGAAGAAUGAAAAUUUAUUUUGAAAAAGAAUUAUUUAUAUUUUUUUAUUCAGAGUUGCCACUUGACAUAAAUCAGGUGUGCCAAGUCACCUUUGAAAAUUCUUUUCAAAAUAUUUUUGACUCUAUAACUGAUCCGCGAACAGAGAUUCUGACUAAGGAAUUCUGUUGACCAAGGGGAAGGUGUUAGGCACCCCUCGGUCCCGUGGUUCGACCACAGUCGCUUGGUAGAGCGUAUCGGCUAAUUUGACAUUACCAAUGUAUAAACCACACAAAACACAUAAAACAAUCAAUCGAGCACACAAAACAAAACAAAUCCAAAAUAUAGUAUUCAGUCCAAUUAUACAGACCCAAAAAAUGAAAAAUACGGAAAUGUAAACCUACUCUAUUCUUAACUAAUCCUAAACUAAUCCUAAACCAAAAUCCACCCGAUGUUUCGGGCCUUGACCGUGCGCCGUCUUUGAGUACAAGAUAUUUCGGGGCAUUCCCCGGAUAAAUCAAUACAAAUUCUUUGAGGCAUUCCCCGGAUAAAUCAAUACAAAUUCUUUGAGGCAUUCCCCGGCCAAAUGAGUACAAUUUUUAAUACGAGAAAAUCAAAGUAUUCAACCGAAUUUCAAACAUUCAACAAACUCAAAGAUUCUAAACUUUGCCUACCCAACCUACGUUUGCCUAUCAUGAUACUAUCAAGUUUGAUUAAUAUUGCAUUUCAAGUCAAACAAUAAGCCAUGAAUCAGACCAACCAAAAUUCACUUUUUAUCAACUUCUCAAUUCCUCCCCAAAUAACCAAUUUUUAUUCUAAAAUGAGAUACCAUUUCAUCACAUAAUCCAAAAUAAAUCUAUAUUCAAAGGGAUCAAGAAACAAUAAAUAACAAAAAAUAAUUCACAUCAUCACAGAUCAACCAAACCAACACAAUAUUCAAUCCAAUGCAUAGGAUAUCAUCAAUAAUGAAAUAAAAAGAGGUGAAAGAGUAGAAUUAGACCUCAUUUGAAGCUUUAUUUUUUUUUUCAAUUAAACAGAAUAGCUUCGCGGAUUAGGAACCUCGAGCUAGCCCAACCUCAAAUAUCAAUCUCCAACUCGGUAUCAGAAGUUGAAACCCGAAUAGAUUUGAAGAAGAAAUUUCAAAGCCAAACUGAGACUAAAUUUACGAAAGACCAAGCAAUUCGUACUUGCUAUCACGAACUCUCACCGAAAUUGACUUAAAUGUUGUCGAACUCUACCCAACAAGGCCGAUCUUAGAUAAUUUUGGUGGCUGGUUUGGAUUUUGACGAUGCAAAGAAUGGGUUUCGAGUCGGUGAUGUUGAAUCAGAUGCAUAGCGCGUGUUCCAGCGAGAUAGCUGCCAAAAAAAUUUGACACUAAUCGGAUCUUCGCCCAAACUUUUCUCUCUCUCUCUUCGCUAGUCUCUCUCUUUGUUAUUCUCUCUGUAUGUCUCACUCGAUCUAACGAAACUCGCUUUGCUCAACCUCUUCUCUACUUUCAGUCAAUUUUAUCCCAUUUUUUAUUCUCCAAUCCGAUGUGCGAGUGAGUGUAUUGGUUUAUUUCUGGGCGUGAGGUUGCUAUGGGGGUACGCUGGUGAGGGUAUUGAUGGUGAGGCAGCCUUUCCCUUUUCUUUUAUGAAGAUGAUGGAGUUUCUAUGUAACGUCGUGGGAGUGUAGGAGUGUAGGAGUGUAAUUGUUGUUGGAAUCCUUCUCUGUGGGCCCAUUUGUGAAAUGAUUAUGUUUGAUGUACUAUUGUUGUUAUGAAUGGAAAACAAAUAUAGUAGUGUAUUAGGUGAGUUCAGAGAGUUGUUUGAUUAGGUGGGGUAGGUGGGUAGGGGUAGGGUAGGAGGUAGGUAGGGAGAGGUAAAAAUGAGUAGAAAUUAAUAUUUGGGUGGAUAAAAUUAUGUGUCUACAUAUAUUAUAUUUAAAAUUAUGAUUUUA
rnacentral:lncRNA from 1 species